UGUUAAUACUUUAUCCUCACCAGCGGAUUUGCUUCUUUGCAUUUCCUCUAGGAUUUUGCUUACUUUUCCUGUCGUUCCUGGCCCUCGCUCCAGGUGCUUCGAAGUACUAUGGAAAACAAGGUGUUACCUACAAGUGCUUAUUAGGCGAAUGCGACCAACGACAAGCUUGUAAUCCUGUGGAUCUCUUGGUCGACUGUUGGGCACCUAAAGCUAAUCAAAUAAACGGGGAAACUUGAAAGAUUGUGUUUUAAAUAAAUUUGAUCUCGUUAUAUU